AUACGGAGGAUCCGAGCGUUAUCCGGAUUUAUUGGGUUUAAAGGGUGCGCAGGCGGGAGAUUAAGUCGGUGGUGAAAUUUUGCAGCUCAACUGUAAAAGUGCCUUCGAAACUGGUUUCCUUGAGUGUAGAUGAAGUAGGCGGAAUUUGUGGUGUAGCGGUGAAAUGCAUAGAUAUCACGAGGAACUCCGAUUGCGCAGGCAGCUUACUAAACUACUACUGACGCUCAGGCACGAAGGCGUGGGGAUCAAACAGGAUUAGAUACCCUGGUAGUCCACGCAGUAAACGAUGAUUACUAGCUGUUUGCGAUACAAUGUAAGCGGCUGAGCGAAAGCGUUAAGUAAUCCACCUGGGGAGUACGUUCGCAAGAAUGAAACUCAAAGGAAUUGGCGGGG
rnacentral:rRNA from 1 species